rnacentral:rRNA from 1 species
GGGUUGUGAGGUUAAGCGACUAAGCGUACACGGUGGAUGCCCUGGCAGUCAGAGGCGAUGAAGGACGUGCUAAUCUGCGAUAAGCGUCGGUGAGGUGAUAUGAACCGUUAUAACCGGCGAUUUCCGAAUGGGGAAACCCAGUGUGUUUCGACACACUAUCAUUAACUGAAUCCAUAGGUUAAUGAGGCGAACCGGGGGAACUGAAACAUCUAAGUACCCCGAGGAAAAGAAAUCAACCGAGAUUCCCCCAGUAGCGGCGAGCGAACGGGGAGGAGCCCAGAGCCUGAAUCAGUGUGUGUGUUAGUGGAAGCGUCUGGAAAGGCGCGCGAUACAGGGUGACAGCCCCGUACACAAAAAUGCACAUAUUGUGAGCUCGAUGAGUAGGGCGGGACACGUGGUAUCCUGUCUGAAUAUGGGGGGACCAUCCUCCAAGGCUAAAUACUCCUGACUGACCGAUAGUGAACCAGUACCGUGAGGGAAAGGCGAAAAGAACCCCGGCGAGGGGAGUGAAAAAGAACCUGAAACCGUGUACGUACAAGCAGUGGGAGCCUCUUAAUGGGGUGACUGCGUACCUUUUGUAUAAUGGGUCAGCGACUUAUAUUCUGUAGCAAGGUUAACCGAAUAGGGGAGCCGAAGGGAAACCGAGUCUUAACUGGGCGUUAAGUUGCAGGGUAUAGACCCGAAACCCGGUGAUCUAGCCAUGGGCAGGUUGAAGGUUGGGUAACACUAACUGGAGGACCGAACCGACUAAUGUUGAAAAAUUAGCGGAUGACUUGUGGCUGGGGGUGAAAGGCCAAUCAAACCGGGAGAUAGCUGGUUCUCCCCGAAAGCUAUUUAGGUAGCGCCUCGUGAAUUCAUCUCCGGGGGUAGAGCACUGUUUCGGCAAGGGGGUCAUCCCGACUUACCAACCCGAUGCAAACUGCGAAUACCGGAGAAUGUUAUCACGGGAGACACACGGCGGGUGCUAACGUCCGUCGUGAAGAGGGAAACAACCCAGACCGCCAGCUAAGGUCCCAAAGUCAUGGUUAAGUGGGAAACGAUGUGGGAAGGCCCAGACAGCCAGGAUGUUGGCUUAGAAGCAGCCAUCAUUUAAAGAAAGCGUAAUAGCUCACUGGUCGAGUCGGCCUGCGCGGAAGAUGUAACGGGGCUAAACCAUGCACCGAAGCUGCGGCAGCGACACUAUGUGUUGUUGGGUAGGGGAGCGUUCUGUAAGCCUGUGAAGGUG